UGGCUCAGAACGAACGCUGGCGGCAGGCUUAACACAUGCAAGUCGAGCGCCCUCUUCGGAGGGAGCGGCGGACGGGUUAGUAACGCGUGGGAACGUGCCUUUCGCUACGGAAUAGCCCAGGGAAACUUGGAUUAAUACCGUAUACGCCCUUUUGGGGAAAGAUUUAUCGGCGAGAGAUCGGCCCGCGUUGGAUUAGGUAGUUGGUGGGGUAAUGGCCUACCAAGCCGACGAUCCAUAGCUGGUUUGAGAGGAUGAUCAGCAACACUGGGACUGAGACACGGCCCAGACUCCUACGGGAGGCAGCAGUGGGGAAUCUUGGACAAUGGGGGCAACCCUGAUCCAGCCAUGCCGCGUGAGUGAUGAAGGCCUUAGGGUCGUAAAGCUCUUUCGCCUGUGAAGAUAAUGACGGUAGCAGGUAAAGAAACCCCGGCUAACUCCGUGCCAGCAGCCGCGGUAAUACGGAGGGGGUUAGCGUUGUUCGGAAUUACUGGGCGUAAAGCGCACGUAGGCGGACCAGAAAGUUGGGGGUGAAAUCCCGGGGCUCAACCCCGGAACUGCCUCCAAAACUAUUGGUCUAGAGUUCGAGAGAGGUGAGUGGAAUUCCAAGUGUAGAGGUGAAAUUCGUAGAUAUUUGGAGGAACACCAGUGGCGAAGGCGGCUCACUGGCUCGAUACUGACGCUGAGGUGCGAAAGUGUGGGGAGCAAACAGGAUUAGAUACCCUGGUAGUCCACACCGUAAACGAUGAAUGCCAGUCGUCGGGUAGCAUGCUAUUCGGUGACACACCUAACGGAUUAAGCAUUCCGCCUGGGGAGUACGGUCGCAAGAUUAAAACUCAAA
rnacentral:rRNA from 1 species